GCUGUAGACUUCUAACUUCAUAGAACUGUGGUGAUAUCGUUACCAUAGCAACCAGAAACUUGAACAAACAUUUAGUCAGCUUGCCAGUUGGCCAACACAUCACGCCAACAUAAAUAUUCGAUUCUGGGAAAUUCAGGAACAUGCCGACAUCGCCCAAUAAAUUGUUGAAAAUGGACCCAAUUUCACGGCCGCAGAGAAGGCAAGAUGAAAAGCAUCAAAUUCCUAGCGAUGCCGAGGCAUUGGAAAGGAACGAGAAAUUGCUCAAGGAAAUCAACAAAGAAAUUGAGUUGUUGAAAGCAAAGAAUCACAACCCGCUGCACGACAAAAUAGAAGAAUUAAAAACGGUUUACCUGAAUCGGUGAUCCUAGAAUACAACGUGAAGUUGGGGAUAGAGAACGGAUGGUUGAACUAUAUACUACGUAGUUCAACCAUGAGAGAACGUGUCUUCUUACAGCGGCCUCGCCUAGACAUGCAACGUCUAAUUUUAGUGUCGAGUCGAUGACCGCAAAUCGAACGUAGUACCUUGAAUCAUAAUCUUGAAGCUGAAGUGUUUAGGGUAAAAAAUUUUAAAAACAAACGUUUCAUUUUUUACCUUGAACCGACAUAAGAAUCGAUAUUUCUCAACUCUAGUAAUAUUUCACAAACAAAAUAAUUAGAAUUCAACAUUUUGGCUGUACAAUACAGUCAAUGGUUCUUGUUAUAUCCACAAGCUAGGAACUAAUCAGUUUAUACACUGCCUCUUUGCUGAUCUAAAAUUCAAAGGCAUCGAGAAUAAUACUAGCAGCAGACGAAUUAUUACCUAGUCAAACCUAUUUCUAUGGCACAGAAUGCUUGCAUAUAAAUUAAAUUCAUUUAAUAUUGCUAUUGACUGGAGAACUAAGACGGCAGCAUCAGCAAUAGCAGCACCUGAAUAACCUGAUUCCUGAGUUACUUCGCUGCUGUAAGCCAAACGUGGCAGAGCAAACUGCAAGGAUUGAAGGUAAUUUAAAUGUAUGAUCUUAUAUAAAUUGUGGCCCUGGAAGUAUGAAUUGACUCUGGACGAACACGCUAGCAUUAAUUCGAUGAAGUCAGUAUUUAAAGCCUGUAAAUUGAUUUUCAAUUUUUCAAAGAGUUUUAGUUUUUAGAUAAAAAUUUUCGAACGUGCUAGGUUGAAUUACGCAUUUAAAACUACAGUCAUAAUUCUUUUUAGUUGUAUCUAAAAUUAGAAGCACCCAAAUAGAAUACAUC